rnacentral:rRNA from 1 species
AUUGAACGCUGGCGGCAGGCUUAACACAUGCAAGUCGAGCGGGGUGAUGGUGCUUGCACUAUCACUUAGCGGCGGACGGGUGAGUAAUGCUUAGGAAUCUGCCUAUUAGUGGGGGACAACAUCUCGAAAGGGAUGCUAAUACCGCAUACGUCCUACGGGAGAAAGCAGGGGAUCUUUAUGACCUUGCGCUAAUAGAUGAGCCUAAGUCGGAUUAGCUAGUUGGUGGGGUAAAGGCCUACCAAGGCGACGAUCUGUAGCGGGUCUGAGAGGAUGAUCCGCCACACUUGGACUGAGACACGGCCCAGACUCCUACGGGAGGCAGCAGUGGGGAAUAUUGGACAAUGGGGGGAACCCUGAUCCAGCCAUGCCGCGUGUGUGAAGAGGGCCUUAUGGUUGUAAAGCACUUUAAGCGAGGAGGAGGCUCUUUUGGUUAAUACCCAGAAUGAGUGGACGUUACUCGCAGAAUAAGCACCGGCUAACUCUGUGCCAGCAGCCGCAGUAA